rnacentral:RNase_P_RNA from 1 species
GGUGCGGUAAGAGCGCACCGCGCUUCUGGUAACAGUAAGCGGCGAGGUAAACUCCACUCGAAGCAAGACCAAAUAGGGUUCCGUACGGCGUGGCUCGCGUUGGAACCGGGUAGGUUGCUGGAGCCAUCAAGCGAUUGAUGGCCUAGACGAAUGGCUGUCCACGACAGAAUCCGGCUUAUCGGCCAGCUUCUAAU